rnacentral:rRNA from 1 species
UGCGUAGGGCGCGAGCGUUGUCCGGAAUCAUUGGGCGUAAAGAGCUCGUAGGCGGCCUGUCGCGUCUGCUGUGAAAUCCCGGGGCUCAACCCCGGGCGUGCAGUGGAUACGGGCUGGCUGGAGGCAGGCAGGGGAGAACGGAAUUCCCGGUGUAGCGGUGAAAUGCGCAGAUAUCGGGAGGAACACCGGUGGCGAAGGCGGUUCUCUGGGCCUGUACUGACGCUGAGGAGCGAAAGCGUGGGGAGCGAACAGG